GCGAACGCUGGCGGGCGUGCCUAAUACAUGCAAGUCGAGCGAUCGGACCACGGGUAGCAAUACCUGUGGUUACGGAGCGGCGAACGGGUGAGUAAACACGUGAGCAACCUGCCCUUCAGACGGGGGAUAACGCCGGGAAAACCGGCCGCUAAUACCCGAUGACCCAGCAGCGGGACAUCCCGCAGCCGGCAAAUGGAUUCCGCUGAAGGAGGGGCUCGCGGCCUAUCAGCUUGUUGGUGGGGGGUAACGGCCUACCAAGGCGAUGACGGGUAGCUGGCGUGAGGAGCGCGACCAGCCACACCGGGACUGAGACACGGCCCGGACUCCUACGGGAGGCAGCAGGUAGGGAAUAUUGGACAAUGGGCGAAAAGCCUGAUCCAGCGACGCCGCGUGGGGGAUGAAGGCCUUCGGGUUUGUAAACCCCUGUUGUGAGGAAAGAAGCCGAAAAGGUGACGGUAACCUCACGAGGAAGCCCCCGGCUAACUACGUGCCAGCAGCCGCGGUAAGACGUAGGGGGCGAGCCGUUGUCCGGAAUCACUGGGCGUAAAGGGCGCCGUAGGCGGUUACGUAAGUCCGGCGUGAAAUCUCACGGCUCAACCGUGGAACUGCGUCGGAUACUGCGUUGACUAGAGGGCGGUAGUAGAGGUCUGUGGAACUAGCGGUGUGUAGCGGGUGAAAUAAUGCGCAGAUAUCGCUAGGAACGCCGGUGGCGAAGGCGACAGACUGGGCCGUUCCUGACGCUGAGGGCGCGAAAGCUAGGGUAGCGAACCGGAUUAGAUACCCGGGUAGUCCUAGCCGUAAACGGUGGGUGCUAGGUGUGGGGGGCCGCCAGGCUUCCGUGCCGCAGCUAAACGCAUUAAGCACCCCGCCUGGGGAGUACGGCCGCAAGGCUAAAACUCAAAGGAAAUUGACGGGGGCCCGCACAAGCGGCGGAGGCGCGUGGCUUAAUUCGAUUGCAAAGCGAAGAACCUUACCUGGGCUUGACAUGCUGGAAGUAGAAACCCUGAAAGGGGAACGACCCGUUGAAUCGGGAACCAGCACAGGUUGCUGCAUGGCUGUCGUCAGCUCGUGCCCGUGAGGUGUUGGGUUAAGUCCCGCAACGAGCGCAACCCCUGCUCUUUGUUGCCAGCGGAUCAUGCCGGGCACUCGAAGGGGACUGCCGGCGAGAAGCCGGAGGAAGGAGGGGAUGACGUCAAGUCAUCAUGGCCCUUACGUCCAGGGCUGCACACGCGCUACAAUGGCCGGUACAAACCGCUGCGAUCCCGCAAGGGUGAGCGAAUCGGAAAAAAGCCGGGUCGUAGUUCGGAUUGGGGUCUGCAACCCGAACCCAUGAAGUUGGAGUCGCUAGUAAUCGCAGAUCAGCAUGCUGCGGUGAAUACGUUUCCCGGGGCCUUGUACACACCGCCCGUCACGUCCUGAAAGUGGGGUAAUGCAUGAAGCCGGUGGCCUAACCCGCCAAGGGAGGGAGCCGUCGAGUGCAGGACUCGCGAUUGGGACG
rnacentral:rRNA from 1 species